AAUCUAGAGAGCAGCACAUGGGAUAUAGUUUCAAUGCUGGCCCUCUGCAGUGUUAUGGACACUCUCUGACUCUUCACAAGAUUCAGCUGAUAAGCACUGCAAGCAGUUUUCAGACUGUUUCCUGUACGGCCAACACCAAUGACUGCCAAUGGUGUGAAGACAAGAAAUGCAUCUCUUCUACAAGCAACUGCACUGUGCUUACAGUUGAGCUUGCCUGCCACCUUCGAGGUCCCCUGUACCUCAACCCUCCCCCUGCAAUGCUUUCUGAGCAGCUGCUCUCUAUUUGGAGACAUGGUGUGUGUAAAAAUGGCCAGUCUGUGAAGAACUUUACCAAAUACAGUGUUCGAAGUGAGCAGAUUUGCAGCAAACUGGAGAACUGCAGGAGUUGCUUGCUUAACAUCAACUGUCAGUGGGAACCAUAACAGCAGGAAUGUCAGGCUUUGCCUGAAACUAACUCCCUGGGUUGGUCUAAGGAAGAUAAAUGUUUCAUACUGGGGGUGGGAGGACAUAUUCAUCUCCCUUUACUGCCAGCACGCUGUAGUGGUUACCAGGGGAGCCAAGUGACUCAGGGUUUUGUGCAUACCUGGAAAGAGCUGAGGUGGCCAGACUCAAAGCCAAACCCUGCACUGCUAACACAGAGGGACUGAUCUAUGAGAAGCCAGUUGGUGAGAAAAGUUUUCGUUGUGUGUAUUGUUGUUUUUCUUCACCUUUCCUUUGUAACAUGAACCUGGAGGCGAUUCAGCGCCGGCUCUGUGUUCUGAAGAAAUGGGAAGUCUGGAAUUCACACUGUUUUACACAUCCCUACUCCUUUAGUAGACUUUUAUUAAAUACAUUUGGUCUUAAUUUGAUGUUUUUUCGUUAGCAAUUUGGGUGUAGUAUUUUGAGCUCUGUUAACAUAAACUAUUUAAUGCCUGUUCCACAGAAUUAUGGAGAUUUUAUACAGAUUUUUAUACAGUCUGGGCCUGCCUUUGGCUUUAUUUAUGACACAUGAUUUGGUGUCUGCAUCUUCUUUUCUAUAUAUGAUGUAUUGAACAAAUGAAAUAUUUUAUAAAAUAAUAAUUUCCAGUAAAAACAAGGACACUUUUUCUUUCUUUC